UACGGAGGGUGCAAGCGUUAAUCGGAAUUACUGGGCGUAAAGCGCACGCAGGUGGCUGAGUCAGUCGAUUGUGAAAGCCCUGGGCUUAACCUGGGAAUUGCAGUCGUUACUACUCAGCUAGAGUAUGGGAGAGGGUAGUGGAAUUCCCGGUGUAGCGGUGAAAUGCGUAGAUAUCGGGAGGAACAUCAGUGGCGAAGGCGGCUACCUGGCCCAAUACUGACACUCAGGUGCGACAGCGUGGGGAGCAAACAGG
rnacentral:rRNA from 1 species